rnacentral:snoRNA from 1 species
CUAGCUCGUUCACAGAUCCUCCCUUAGUGGGGCCAGGAUUUGGUAGCCGGUGCUGAGAGAAAACCCGAUUACAUCCUCGCCCUGAUACUGUAUCAGUGGCAUCUGUCUCUCAAGGGAACAGAG